rnacentral:rRNA from 1 species
UACUAGAGUAGCACUCGCAUAUCAAUAAGCGGAGGAAAAGAAACUAACAUAGGAUUCCCUCAGUAAUGGCGAGUGAAGCGGGAAGAGCUCAAAUUUGAAAUCUUCAAGGUUCUACCUUGACGAAUUGUAGUUUAAAGAAGUGUUUCCUGUUGAAGUUUUGGUAAAAGUUCUUUGGAAUAGGACAUCAUAGAGGGUGAGAAUCCCGUAUUUGACCAUUAUUUUCAGCUGUGUGAUACACUUUCAAAGAGUCGGAUUGUUUGGGAAUGCAGUCCAAAAUGGGUGGUAAAUUUCAUCUAAAGCCUAAAUACUGGCGAGAGACCGAUAGCGAACAAGUACCGUGAGGGAAAGAUGAAAAGAACUUUGAAAAGAGAGUUAAACAGUACGUGAAAUUGUCAAAAGGGAAGCGUUUGACACCAGUGUUGUUUUCUCGAAAAUCAAUUAAAAAUGAUGGGAUUUUGUGUUGUAUUGACUUUAUCAGCUUUCUGCACUUUUUUCUUAUCUUUUUUAAUGCACUUUUCGUUUAACAAGUCAACAUCAAUUUCUUUUGUUGUAAAAGAGUCAUUGGAAGGUGGCUUUUUCUUCGGAAAAAGUGUUUAUAGCCUUUGGCUUCUGCAAUCGGAGAGAUUGAGGUCUGCAGCGUAGAUCCUUCGGGGUUAGAUACAUUUGUGCUAAGCUAUAGUUCUUUAUAGACAACUUGUUGACUAUAAUCAAUCCUGUAACUUACUCGCUUAUGCUAUUUUACCUACGCUUAGGAUGUUGAUAGUCACAGCGUGUAC